rnacentral:tRNA from 1 species
GCGGGCGUGGCGGAAUGGCAGACGCGCCAGACUUAGGAUCUGGUGGGGUUUCCCCGUGGAGGUUCAAGUCCUCUCGCCCGCACCA